rnacentral:lncRNA from 1 species
AGGAAAUCUACAUGCAGAGAGUCCGAAGAGUGUUCCAGGUUGAGAAACCAGCACAUGCAAAGGCCCCAGGUGAAAGAGCGUGAAGCAAGGUGAUGCUGAUGCUGCUGGAUGUGGACCACUUCGAGUAACAAGGAAUCACUGAGGAUUUUCAACAGUAGGGAAGGAGGUCCUGCUAUAACCAGCCUUACACAUCCCUUUGACACUUGAGGUUGCUCACACACACACACGACUGGUACAGCAAGUGAGAUUCGUCUCACCUCUUCCCAACCCUUCUCCUUUUCCCCCAGAACAACUACCAACCCAAAGAUGGCCGACAUGCUGCACAGGCCAGGCCCACUGCAACCCGACCCAUGAGACCCAUGCUUUUCCCAGGCUACCUCCCUGCCCCUGGAGUUACAGGAGCUGGUGGCUGACAAUGAAUGGUUUUGCAGAGGUCUUCAGAGGCCUCAGUGGCUGACUUUCUGUGUGCCCGACCAGUUUGUCCUCUCGUCAGGACACGUCAAAACUUGCAGAGACCCUGGCAGGCACGGCUCCCAACUCUUCAUUGGACAAAAGAACAACCUAAGACUCAGAGCUGAGAAGUGAUUUUGCCAGGGUCACACAGCCAGCUUGGGGCAGAAUCGGGAUUCAGGGACCUGUCUCCUACUUCUAAUGUGUCCUCUCUCCAUUACACCAGACACGGCGAGAACACGGAGAACCUAAAAGAAGAAAGAAAAAAACAGCUUCUUGUUGAAUAUCUUGAGCUUCUGGUUUUCAAGGACAGCUUUAUGAUUAAUAGCAAUGAUGCCUCAAAAGCUAUGGCAGCUAGCUUGAAUGAACUUAUGUAAUAAACAUUUAUCACAGAACAUGUGUCAUCAAACACCUGCUAGAUCUGAGCGUUGGCACCAAAGCUGCUUUCAUUGUCAAAGAAAAGAGGGGGAAAAGGAACUUGGCUGAACAAAGCUGGCAGACUUUUUACUAGAAAAUUC